rnacentral:rRNA from 1 species
GUUAUAGGGUCAAGUGACUAAGAGCAUGUGGUGGAUGCCUUGGCGAUGAUAGGCGACGAAGGACGUGAUAGCCUGCGAUAAGCUUCGGGGAGCUGGCAAAUUAGCUUUGAUCCGGAGAUUUCCGAAUGGGGAAACCCACCGUAAGGUAUCCUGUGGUGAAUUCAUAGCCACAGGAGGCGAACCGGGCGAACUGAAACAUCUCAGUAGCCCGAGGAAAAGACAUCAACCGAGAUUCCGAAAGUAGUGGCGAGCGAAAUCGGAGCAGCCUUCUAGUGAUAGCGCGACCGUUAGCAGAACAAGCUGGAAAGCUUGACCAUAGUGGGUGACAGUCCCGUAUGCGAAAACCGUCGCGUGGUACCAGGCUAGAGACAAGUAGGGCGGGACACGUGUAAUCCUGUCUGAACAUGGGGGGACCAUCCUCCAAGGCUAAAUACUCAUCAUCGACCGAUAGUGAACCAGUACCGUGAGGGAAAGGCGAAAAGAACCCCGGGAGGGGAGUGAAAUAGAUCCUGAAACCGCAUGCUUACAAAAAGUAGGAGCCUCGCAAGGGGUGACUGCGUACCUUUUGUAUAAUGGGUCAGCGACUUACAUUCAGUGGCAAGGUUAACCGAAUAGGGAAGCCGUAGAGAAAUCGAGUCCGAAUAGGGCGAACAUAGUCGCUGGGUGUAGACCCGAAACCAAGUGAUCUAUCCAUGGCCAGGAUGAAGG